rnacentral:rRNA from 1 species
CUGAAACCGUGUACGUACAAGCAGUGGGAGCACCCUUCGGGGUGUGACUGCGUACCUUUUGUAUAAUGGGUCAGCGACUUAUAUUCUGUAGCAAGGUUAACCGUAUAGGGGAGCCGGAGGGAAACCGAGUCUUAACCGGGCGUUAAGUUGCAGGGUAUAGACCCGAAACCCGGUGAUCUAGCCAUGGGCAGGUUGAAGGUUGGGUAACACUAACUGGAGGACCGAACCGACUAAUGUUGAAAAAUUAGCGGAUGACCUGUGGCUGGGGGUGAAAGGCCAAUCAAACCGGGAGAUAGCUGGUUCUCCCCGAAAGCUAUUUAGGUAGCGCCUCGUGAAUUCAUCUCCGGGGGUAGAGCACUGUUUCGGCUAGGGGGCCAUCCCGGCUUACCAACCCGAUGCAAACUGCGAAUACCGGAGAAUGUUAUCACGGGAGACACACGGCGGGUGCUAACGUCCGUCGUGAAGAGGGAAACAACCCAGACCGCCAGCUAAGGUCCCAAAGUCAUGGUUAAGUGGGAAACGAUGUGGGAAGGCCCAGACAGCCAGGAUGUUGGCUUAGAAGCAGCCAUCAUUUAAAGAAAGCGUAAUAGCUCACUGGUCGAGUCGGCCUGCGCGGAAGAUGUAACGGGGCUAAACCAUGCACCGAAGCUGCGGCAGCGAACGUAUCACCCAAGACAACUUUACGGAGUUGACGAUUGACGGAGCGAAGCGACGUCAAAGCGUUCAUUAAAGUCGAGUUGGCUUAGGGAUACGUUCGUUGGGUAGGGGAGCGUUCUGUAAGCCUGUGAAGGUGUGUCGUGAGGCAUGCUGGAGGUAUCAGAAGUGCGAAUGCUGACAUAAGUAACGAUAAAGCGGGUGAAAAGCCCGCUCGCCGGAAGACCAAGGGUUCCUGUCCAACGUUAAUCGGGGCAGGGUGAGUCGACCCCUAAGGCGAGGCCGAAAGGCGUAGUCGAUGGGAAACGGGUUAAUAUUCCCGUACUUGGUGUUACUGCGAAGGGGGGACGGAGAAGGCUAUGUUGGCCGGGCGACGGUUGUCCCGGUUUAAGCGUGUAGGUGUGUGUUCCAGGUAAAUCCGGUUCACUUUAACACUGAGGCGUGACGACGAGGCACUACGGUGCUGAAGCAACAAAUGCCCUGCUUCCAGGAAAAGCCUCUAAGCAUCAGGUAACAC